AGGGCACAUGGUGGAUGCCUUGGCUCUCAGAGGCGAUGAAGGACGUGAUAAGCUGCGAUAAGCUGCGGGGAGGAGCAAAUAUCCUUUGAUCCGUGGAUUUCCGAAUGGGGCAACCCAAUAGGUGAAGAAUCUAUUACCAUACUAUAUGGAGUCAACCCGGUGAACUGAAACAUCUAAGUAGCCGGAGGAAAAGAAAACAAAAGUGAUUCCCCUAGUAGUGGCGAGCGAACGGGGAUUAGCCCAAACCAACGUUGUUUCGGCAAUGUUGGGGUUGUAGGACUGAGCUGUGGAAGAAAUAAACGAAGCAAAACAAACUGGAAAGUUUGAUCAUAGAGGGUGAUAAUCCCGUAUGCGUAUUUUUAUGAUUCCUAUCAGUAUCCUGAGUAGCGCGGGACACGAGAAAUCCUGUGUGAAUCUGGCGGGACCAUCCGCUAAGGCUAAAUACUCCUGAGAGACCGAUAGCGAACCAGUACCGUGAGGGAAAGGUGAAAAGAACCUCGAAUAGAGGAGUGAAAUAGUUCCUGAAACCAUGUGCCUACAAGCGGUCGGAGCAGCAAUGUGACGGCGUGCCUUUUGCAUAAUGAACCUACGAGUUACUGUCACUGGCAAGGUUAAGACCUAGAGAGGGUUGCAGCCGAAGCGAAAGCGAGUCUUAACAGGGCGUUAAGUCAGUGGUAGUAGACGCGAAACCAAGUGAUCUACCCUUGAGCAGGUUGAAGUUUGGGUAACACCAAUUGGAGGACCGAACCGGUAAACGUUGAAAAGUUUUCGGAUGACUUGAGGGUAGGGGUGAAAGGCUAAUCAAACUUGGAGAUAGCUCGUACUCCCCGAAAUGCAUUUAGGUGCAGCCUCGUGGUUAAUACUUACGUCAGGUAGAGCUACUGAUUGGAUGCGAGGGCUUCGCCGCCUAUCAAGUCCAGAUAAACUCCGAAUGGGCGUAAGAUUUACACGGGAGUGAGGGCAUGGGUGCUAAGGUCCAUGUCCGAGAGGGAAAGAACCCAGACCAUCAGCUAAGGCCCCCAAAUACUGGUUAAGUUGAAUAAUAACGAAGUAAAACUACCGAGACAGCUAGGAUGUUGGCUUGGAAGCAGCCAUUCAUUUAAAGAGUGCGUAACAGCUCACUAGUCGAGUGGUUUUGCGUGGAUAAUAAUCGGGCAUAAAUCAGUUGCCGAAGCUAUGGGAUAAAUAUUAUCGGUAGGGGAGCAUUCCAUAUCAGCGUUGAAGGCGGGGCGUGAGCCCUUCUGGAGCGAAUGGAAAAGCAAAUGUAGGUAUAAGUAACGAUAAAGGGGGAGAGAAACCCCCUCGCCGAAAGACUAAGGUUUCCUGAUCAACGCUAAUCGGAUCAGGGUAAGUCGGGCCCUAAGGUUAAGCCAAACGGCGAUACCGAUGGACAUGCGGUAAACAUUCCGCAACUACUAUACGGAGUGAAGUGGAGACGCAGAAGUGACACUGUUGCCAACUGACGGAAUAGUUGGUUUAACCAUGUAGGUUAUGAGAGGUAUAGGCAAAUCCGUACCUUGAGCUGAAGUGGGAAAGUACUACAAUCCUUCGGGAGCGUAGAUAUACAGGUAAUCCGGCUGCCAAGAAAAUCCGCUAAACGCUAAUUCGUAUAGUAUCCGUACCGCAAACGGACACACGUAGUCGGGUUGAAAAUACUAAGGCGCUCGAGUGAUUCAUAGUUAAGGAAUUAAGCAAAAUGACCCUGUAACUUCGGAAUAAAGGGUGCCCACAGCAAUGUGGGCCGCAGAGAAUAGAUCCAUGCAACUGUUUAUCAAAAACACAUGGCUGUGCUAAUAAGAAAUUAGAUGUAUACAGCCUGACACCUGCCCGGUGCUGGAAGGUUAAGAGGAGAUGUCAUCGCAAGAGAAGCAUUGAAUUGAAGCCCCAGUAAACGGCGGCCGUAACUAUAACGGUCCUAAGGUAGCGAAAUUCCUUGUCGGGUAAGUUCCGACCUGCACGAAUGGUGUAAUGAUGUGGAUACUGUCUCAACUAUGAGCUCGGUGAAAUUGUAGUAUCGGUGAAGAUGCCGAUUACCCGCGAUGGGACGAAAAGACCCCGUGAACCUUUACUAUAGCUUUACAUUGAUUUUGGGUACUUGAUGUGUAGGAUAGGCCGGAGGCUAUGAAGCAGGGACGCUAGUUUUUGUGGAGCCGCCGUUGAAAUACGGCCCUUUAAUUAUUUGAAAUCUAACUCGCGGAUGCGAGGACAUUGUAUGGUGGGUAGUUUGACUGGGGUGGUCGCCUCCAAAAGUGUAACGGAGGCUUCUAAAGGUGUGCUCAGAACGAUUGGUAACCGUUCGUAGAGUGUAAUGGCAUAAGCACGCUUGACUGAGAGACCAACAAGUCGAUCAGGUAGGAAACUAGAGCAUAGUGAUCCGGUGGUUUCAGUAUGGAAUGGCCAUCGCUCAAAGGAUAAAAGGUACUCCGGGGAUAACAGGCUGAUCAUUCCCAAGAGCUCAUAUCGACGGAAUGGUUUGGCACCUCGAUGUCGGCUCGUCACAUCCUGGGGCUGGAGCAGGUCCCAAGGGUUGGGCUGUUCGCCCAUUAAAGUGGCACGCGAGCUGGGUUCAGAACGUCGUGAGACAGUUCGGUCUCUAUCUAUCGUGGGCGCAGGAUAUUUGCGGAGAUCUGACACUAGUACGAGAGGACCGUGUUGGACGUACCCCUGGUUCACCAGUUGUUUCGCCAGGAGCAUUGCUGGGUAGCUAAGUACGGUUUUGGAUAAGUGCUGAAAGCAUCUAAGCACGAAGCCAACUUCAAGAUAAGAUAUCCAUAUAAGGGUCGUUGU
rnacentral:rRNA from 1 species